UGAAAAAACGGCCACUGUCGCCUCCAAUGUCUCGGUCGUGGGUUCGUUAUGCCACUUGUGCGUCAUUCUAAGCCGUUCUGUACAUUUAUACUGGAUAUUAAUUGGAGUCAUUUAGCUGUGCUGAUUCUGCUUGCCGUGUGUUUUGCAUCAGUGCUUCGUGACAUCGGCUGUAUUGCGUGUUUUCGCCGACGGCUUACUACCACAAUGGCGUGAUCUGCGUUCGCCGCCUUCGUGUCUCGGUGCGUCUUUGUAUACGUCGCACGUUCGGACAACACUUUUUCCGACGGCUGGACAUCCUUCUUGUACCUUGUCGCUAGCUGGAUGACGGGACCUCAUCAUGAUCAGUGUAUUGCUUGCCUAUGUCUACAAGAACCGUCACGCGUGGCCUGUAACAGCAAGCUUUUGUGGGCAGCAAGUGCUCUCCUACGAAGGCUGGCCUACUCUGGCAGCGGCGGCAAUCAUCUUCAAGAUUUAUCCAUGAUCACCUUUGCUGCUAUUUGUCACUCUUGUUGAUUACACUUUCUGCAUCUUUUCUAA